GACGAACGCUGGCGGCGUGCCUAAUACAUGCAAGUCGAGCGGGCUUAUUCGAGUAGCUUGCUAUUUGGAUAAGUCAGCGGCGGACGGGUGAGUAACACGUGGGUAAUCUGCCUCGUAGUCUGGGAUAACAAGCCGAAAGGUUUGCUAAUACCGGAUGAGUUCAUGUUAUUGCAUAGUGACAUGAAGAAAGGGGAGACCCGCUAUGAGAUGAGCCCGCGUCCCAUUAGCUAGUUGGUGGGGUAAAGGCCUACCAAGGCGACGAUGGGUAGCCGGCCUGAGAGGGUGGACGGCCACACUGGGACUGAGACACGGCCCAGACUCCUACGGGGGGCAGCAGUAGGGAAUUUUCGGCAAUGGGCGGAAGCCUGACCGAGCGACGCCGCGUGAGGGACGAAGGCCUUCGGUUGUAAACCUCUGUCUGGGGGACGAGGUAAGGACGGUACCCCCGGAGGAAGGCCCCGGCGUAACUACGUGCCAGCAGCCGCGGUAAAGUACUCUAU
rnacentral:rRNA from 1 species